UCCCCCGCUUUGCCCCCCCCCCCCGUCCUGGGGCGCCGGCGCACUGCGGCUCCCGAACUGCGACAGGAGCUCAGGAAGCGCUCCCCCGCCCCUCCCGCCGGCGCCCAUCGCAGAGCGCCUGCGCGGCCGCGGCCGCCUUUCGCUGCUGCUCCGUCGCCGCUGCUUUACUCUGGUUGUUACCCACCGUCGCGGCUGUGUUGCGAGUAGUUUCUGGAGCCCUUCGGCGGGCGGCUGCCUGUCCGGCCACCUCUGAACACAGCCUGUCCGGCCCUGAGGCGGCGGGUGGCCCUCGCCCCGCCCGUCCGCUCGCUGGCUGGCUCACCGCAGCGCGCGCAGCGUCGCCUUACGCUCCUCAUGCGCCGCUCAGCAGCCGCGGCUCCUCCCCGGGCAGGCCCUGAGGCCACGGCCCGUUUGGGGCCUGGGGCUAUGGCUGGCAGCCUCACGUGUUUUCGUGGGGCCCGGCGGUCUCCAAGGGUUUUCUGUGAUGUCCCUGCUCGUCUUCUAAUCCGUAAAGAAUGUUCAGAUGGAUUGUUCUGGGUGUUCCAAAUACCCGAGAGGGCAAUGUAUGGAAAAACAAGAAGCCAAGACUGUUCUUCAGCAGUUGCCAGACCAUAGUGUGAAAAGUGUUCCCCUGAUUCGUGGAACAAUGAAUAUGGAUGGUAAUUUUUGGUAGCUUUAUUUGUUCUUGUGUAACUUGUUCUUGCUGUUCGUAAUGGCAGCUUGACAGGUGUCUUGGUAGACUAGCUUGAACCAGUUUUGUGGUGAUAUACACACGGAGGUCGCCUGGGGGACACCGUGAGGAAGACUACUGACUUCCUCACAUGACCACCUAAAGAGGAUGAGAAAGACCCCCAAGAUGGAACAAAGCAUACAGCAAGAAGGAGACAACCUCUUCCCAGAAAUCAUUACAUAUCCCAGCCCCCUCCUGGAAAAGUUACGAAUAUGUAUAAAGCCUGUCUCAUUAAUAUGUGUAAGGCCUAUUCAACCUGAACUCCAGAUGUGACAGGUGCGUCUUGGUAGAGCAGAGGCUCUCUGCACACCCAGCGCUGUUUGCUUGCUUUUAUUUGUUUAAUAAAUUCCAAAAUUUAAUUUAAA